GUUCAAUGGGCUGCUCGAAGCCAGGACUGGGAUCCUCUGAGGCGUGGACUUCUUUCGAACUCGACCAGACCUUGAAGAUUGGCGGUUACACCUCUGGGAAGCAUUAUCUUGGCCUGAUGACUUCACACCGCUUGGUGGAAACCCACUUACUCA